AUGCUACCACUUAAUUCAGGUCAUGGUACCACUUAAUUCAGGCCAUUGUACCUGCAACGUCCGGUCUUCAUGGGAAUGCGUACCGCCGUCGAAUCCUAUUGACCUGCACUCGAUCCCGACCCUCGAUUGGGGUCGAUGAACCCGGUACACGGGACACGGCGUCGACCCGCGUUCCCGGCUACUAUGGUCUUAACGCGAGGAGGUGCCGAGAUACACGAGGGGUUGGAGCAGGACUGCAAGAGGAAUUGAGGACAUGUUUUGUUUUAGAUCCACCUGAUUAGUCCCAAGUUUUUGCAAGGUCUGCUUCUUAUGCAAAGGUUUCUUUUGAUGGGCAGCCUAGCCAAUUAAUUAUGUUUGGAUCACUCUGGGCAAUUCUCUCUGGAGUUGAGAGUACUCUGAGCACUGCCCAUAGCGUGCCACGACGACCGUUUGCACUAUAGGAGCCUCGCGACACAGUCCUCAUAUGAGAAGUGGGGAUUCCACCAGCAUUCUCACAAAUAGGUACUA